AUCGGUACCAGCAGCCUUAUCUCCGCAAUCUCCUAAUCUCCCCCACGCGACCUCGCUCCCCUCCGUACCUCACGCAUCGCCGCCCCCUCCCCUGAAUUCGUCAACACCCAUGCUCGUUCUACUCCCUGCAGAUCGAAUCGGAGCUCGAUUCGCGGCCAUCCUCAUGUCCCUGCAACAAAUCGGCGCAAGAUCCACCCCCAAUAGCAGCCGCAUCCACCAUAUAGCUGCAGCCAUGGAGGAAUCCCUAGCAACCCCGCAAUGGAUGGUGGGCGUCGAGGAGAAAGGGGGCUGCUGGGGGGAGCCGGCCGAGGAGGCGAGAAACGAUGUAUUGGACGGCAUGGUUUUUGGGUGAGUCUCCGCGGUCGGAAUCAGGGAGCUAUGGUUGAAGAAGGAGUCGAUUUUGCUCAAGAUUCGGUGGUGGGUGGGGGUGAUGACUUCCUCUUUGUAUCUGAUUCAGAGGAAGAAGUAAGCAAUGACUUCAAUGAUCGUUCUUUCGCCCCGCACUCCAAGGUCCCAGGUGCCAACGAUGUCCAUGCAUCUCCAUCCCUGGCCAAGGCUGAUGACUAUAAUCCCUUGUCUACUCCACAGCAGCCGGGUGCCGUUUGCGCUCCCUUCACGGCGCCGCCGUACUCAGAUGGUCUGGAAGCUGUUGCAUGGCAUGACAUUGCCGGCCACUCUCAACCACCGGAAGAAGAAGCAUACGUGGAGCACCCUGAUCUGCAGGGACAAGAUGCAGGUGCUGACGAUGAAUUUCGCGAGAGAGGCGAAAAAAUCUAGGUCAAGAACAUUCAUAUCGGGUGAGUUAGGAGGCUGGUGCAUUAUGCGAAUGUCAAGCCCUGUUUUUGCCACAACAUUAAGAAAUGCUUCGUCAUCAGCAGGCACAUGUGUGCGAGCAUUAUCUUGUUGAAUCCAAAUGGUCUUCCCUGCAUCUUCUUGAGGCCAUGAUGCUACAAUAGCCGAUCGAAGUGAUGGGUAGCAUGGCCUUGUUCAUCCUGGACAGCAUGCUCUUCUAGCUCUCCGUCUUGCACAUGCAGGAAAAUGUUUGAUUGCCAAUAUAAAUACCUGAUUCAUCAUGGUAAUCCUCAUCUUCGGCUUGCUCGUUCAUAUCAAAAUUAUGGGUAGCGUAGCCUUGUUCAUCCUGGACAGCAUGUUCUAAAGGAUGGGCAGCAUGUCUCUGUUCUUCAUGGACGAAUCCAUCUUCCUGGACCUGGUCACCUUCUUCAACUUCAUGGCCUUGCUCUCCUGUUGCAUCGAGUGGUACAUUUAGAUCUAGGUGAGUUUUCAUGGAGGUGUUGAAGAAAUGGCUGUAUAGGAGAUGGUAGGGGAGCUCUAUGCGCUGAAUGUCUAGAUGGGCUUUGUAACCUCUUGAGUAUUCAUUUUCCUACGCUGAAUGUUUUUGGCGGUAAGAAAAAAGGCGCUAAUGAUCUCCUGGAGUAAUCAUUUGAUUUUUUA